rnacentral:misc_RNA from 1 species
AGCUAGGGUUUGAGGCAGCUGAGUUCCGCAGACUAAAACCCUAGCUCCUCCCUCUCCUUCAACCGUCGUCACGCCGCUCUCUUUUCGUAAACACAUAACUUUUAACCCCCUUUUUUAGAUCAUCCUCCAUAAUCAGUAACACAAUUAGAUUAUCGGAAAAGGCUUGGAGAGUGUAGAAGGCUGCUUUUAUUGGCUCUUGCCCCAAGUGUAGCUGUUGGUGGAUGCGUUCUUAUUCAUCUUCUAUAGUUGAGGGCUAAGUUUUCUCUAUGGCUUCCAGGAGUAGCAUCCGUCUUAUUUCAUACUCGAAUGAGAUUAUAAAUGGUGAACCAAUCUAUAUUUCCUCUAACUGCUAUCCUAUUAAAGCUCACAAAUAUGAGCCUGCUGGGCUUGCUUUUCACUCUGCUGCUCUUAGACUAAUUGGGCAUGUUGAGAAAGAAGACCCCAAAGAUGGCAAAGAAGAUGUUCCUAAUGACAAGGAACAGACAUUUGCCUAUUCAUCAGAGUCAUACAGCUCUAAGGGGAAGAAGAAGUCUUCUACCGGCGAAAAGGUACAAGAUCAUUAUGCAUUAUUAGGGUUGAGCAAUCUAAGGUAUCUUGCUUCUGAGGAUCAGAUAAGGAAGAGCUAUCGUGAUGCUGCAUUGAGGCAUCAUCCUGACAAGCUGGCUUCACUUCUUCUAGCUGAGGAAACUGAAGCUGCAAAACAAGCCAAGAAGGAGGAAAUAGAAAACCACUUCAAAGCUAUUCAGGAAGCAUAUGAGGUUCUUAUGGACCCUGUUAGGAGAAGGAUUUAUGACUCCACGGAUGAAUUUGAUGAUGAAAUCCCAACUGAAUGUGCUCCACAAGAUUUUUUUAAGGUCUUUGGACCUGCAUUUUUAAGGAAUGGUCGUUGGUCCGUCACCCAACCCAUCCCUUCAUUAGGUGAUGAGAAUACUCCAAUUAAAGAAGUGGAUAGCUUUUAUAAUUUCUGGUACAGCUUCAAAAGUUGGAGAGAGUUCCCACAUGCUGAUGAGUUUGAUCUUGAACAAGCUGAAUCUCGUGAUCACAAGAGGUGGAUGGAAAGGCAGAAUGCAAAACUUUCAGAGAAAGCCAGAAAGGAAGAAACCGCCAGGGUGCGUACACUUGUUGACAAUGCCUAUAGAAAAGACCCUAGAAUCUUAGGAAGAAAAGAGGCGGAGAAAGCAGAGAAGCAGAGAAAGAAGGACGCUAAACUACUUGCAAAGAAAUUACAGGAGGCAGAAGCAAUUAGGAUUGUUGAAGAGGACAAGCGUAAGAAAGAGGAAGAGGAGAAAAGAGCAGCUGAAGUUGCUUUGCAGCAGAAGAAGUUGAAGGAGAAAGAAAAGAAAUUGUUGCGAAAAGAGCGUAGUCGUUUAAGAACCCUUGCUGCUCCUGUUCUGUCUCAGCGUUUGCUUGGGCUAAAUGAUGACGAUGUAGAAGGUCUAUGCAUGUCACUUGACAUUGAGCAACUGAGGAACUUAUGUGAUAAAGCCGAUGGACAGGGUGAGAUUGUUAUUGCUGAACUUCUUAGGGGGGCACUUGGACAUGAACACAACCUGAAAUAUGAGAAUAAAGAUGAAAAGAUUAAGUCGCAGCAAAAUGGUUCUCUGGACAGUAAAAAACAAGUUCCUCUGAUGAGCAGUGAGAAAAAAGAGAAACCUUGGAGCAAAGAAGAAAUUGAUCUUUUGAGGAAGGGGAUGCUGAAAUAUCCUAAAGGAACUUCUCGAAGAUGGGAAGUUAUUUCUGAUUAUAUUGGUACCGCAAGGACAGUUGAAGAGAUCCUGAAGGCUACAAAAACAGUUCUGCUCCAGAAGCCCGACUCUGCUAAAGCCUUUGACUCCUUCCUUGAGAAAAGAAAGCCUGCACCAACUAUUGUUUCUCCUCUUUCCACGAGGGCAGAAGUAGAGGGAGUAGAAAAUAGUAGCAAGCCUGAAAGUGGAAGCGCCAAAGUAGCUGAUUCUCAGGAGACCCCUAGUCAAAACACAAACAGCCAGAACACUGAGGAUGCACCUACAGCAAACGGAGUUUCUUCGAGUUCUGAUUCAGACGUAUGGUCUGCUGUUCAAGAAAAAGCCUUAGUUCAAGCUCUGAAAACCUUCCCCAAGGAAACCAGCCAGCGGUGGGAACGAGUGGCAACUGCUGUCCCUGGGAAGACUAUGAACCAGUGUAAAAAAAAGUUUGCAUUACUCAAAGAGAAUUUCAGGAGCAAGAAAAGUGCAGUGUGAGGUUAGUGGUGCUUGAAACUGCUGAGUCUAGUUUUUUUCUUUUAUUUCUAUUUUCUAUUGUUCAGGCAGCCGCAACAAGCUCACUCUUGUAAUGCAUUGUGACAACACCCCACACCCCAGUCCAUUUUCAGUACCAUUUUUGUCAUUAAGCAGUAGCAUUUACAUAUCUACUAUUCAGUACGGCAUUGUGAAGUUACUAUACUUGAAUACAGUAAUAUUUGAUGGGAAACACUGAUGAUAUCUAAAGUUAU